UGGAGGCCUCCAGACAUUGUGGGUUCCAAUGCCCAUCUCCACUGACAACAACAACAACAACAACAUUAUUUCUACCCUGCCCAUUUGCCUGGAGCUAAUGCAAAUUGCAGUCCGCAAUAUCUGCACCUCUGGAAAUUUCCAAACCAUCUUCAGAGGCAGCACCACUUAUAACGCCUUGAAAUAAUUCAAGCUAGAGGUUACCGGAACGUAAACUUUAGACUAUUCUUGUUCAGAUAGAGGCGCAGCUAGGCCAACAAGUGUUGAUGGAAAGCAUUCUAUGCCCACAAGGCCAUCUGAGCAUCAAGCGACAGCAAUGGACCCAUAAAUACCCCCAAACUGUGUACCUGCUCCUUCAGAGGGAGUAUAACCCCAUCAAGAGCAGGCCACCUCCCACCCAUCUGGCCAAGGGAACCACCCAGUAGCAGUGACUCAGUCUUAUCUGGGUUGAGCUUUUUGGCUUUCAUCCAUUCUAUUUCAGAAUUUAAUAUUAACCAGUUGUCAUCAACUGUGCCUGAACAGAUUGUCACAAUACAUAGCCAUGUGAAACUAUUUGUGGGGAGGAAUUACUAUCUGCUGUAAGUCUCUGAAGCUGUCUAUAGAUUGAAGCCCCAUUAAAAUGGAUGAAAGGAUAGGCUUUGCAUACAAAUUAUGAAUGCAUUUUUGUCUCUGAAGGAUUGGAUUUGGCAGGGAUUUUCACCCACUCCUGUGCCAAAUAGGAUUGGCACCUGAAAGAUAAAUCAUCCACAACGUGAUUCUGUAAAAAUCAGGUAAUUGCAAUGCAAAAUUCCCGAGUUUCAGUGCAGACAUCUUUUCAAAGGAAUAAUGCAUUCUGCUGCCGAUCGUCUGUUUAUGUUAAGGCUCAGGUUGUUACAUCAUACUGAUCAUAAAAAAUGUCUAGCAUUAUCUGGAAUUACAACUGGCAGAAUCAGUUCGGCUACAACCCAAAGGUGUCAGGUGAGAGACUGCCUUAUUCAAAGCAGAAGGAAUGACGCCGGGGGGGGGGGGUCUUUUCCUCACGGUAACAAUGAGAAGAAAAUCAGAGAGAAAGAGAGUUUUAGACCCAAUUCUGAGCUGUUGUAUAUCUUUGCCCAGUUUUAGGGAGCAUGUUAAAUUGUUAAGAUAGUGAAUCCUUUGGAUGAAAGCCCUUUUCUGACCCUCCCUUGAUCCUCUUAUGGGGCCCUAUCAGUUUUGAAGCACCAACACUGAGCUAGGACAUUAAUGGUUUCCGCAGUAGCUGCCCAGGGACCCUCUGAUUUCAGCCCUAGUGUACUCAGCGUAUUUUUCACUCCAUAAGACGCACUUUUUCCUUCCUAAAAAGUAAGGGGAAAUGUCUGUGCGUCUUAUGGAGUGAAUGCAUGGUCACUGGAGCCGAAUUGCCCAGGGGCAAAAUGCAGAUCAUGCUUUUUUUUUGGAAAGAGGGAAGUGGGUGUUGAAACAAAGCCGCUGAUCGUUUGCCGAUUGGGGAGAGAGAUAAGGGACACUAGAGAUAAAGGAGGCUGCCUUUAAAGGGGGGAGGUAAAGACAGCAAACUUGCAAAGGGGGGAAACAGGAAGACUAAAGCAAUAAGGAGAGAAAUUAGAAGAAAAGGAGGAGAAAAAACUGCUCCUGCUAAGGAAAAGACACUAGGGCAAACAAGAAGAAAGGGAGUGUUGAAAGGAAACAGCUGAUCGGUGGGAUCUGAAGAGAGAUAAGGGAUGCUAGCAGAGGCUGCCUGGGAGGGGGGAGGUAAAACCCCUUCAGGAUUUUCACAUUGGGUCACCUCAAAUUCACCAUCAGAUCACAUAGCAUGUCCAUGGCUACAGCCUGCACCAAGAAAAAUCAUGCACCCACUGUUUCCUGGGGCUGCAAUGGUGCAAAAACAUGGUCACAAAGCAUGGAUCCACAUGGAUCCUCAGGAUUUUUGCAUUCGGUCACCCCAAAUUCACCAUCAGAUUACAUGUCUAUGGCCACAGCAUGAACCACAAAAAUCAUACAUCCACUGUUUCGUUCAGAAUAUUUUUUUCUUGUUUUCCUCCUCUAAAAACUAGGUGCGUCUUAUGGUCAGGUGUGUCUUGUGGGGUGAAAAAUAUGUUAGGUGCUUUGUUCCUACUUACAUAGCCUCCAAAUACCCUCUCUUAGUUUUUCUAGAUACUCAUUUUUUGAGUUGCUUUACUUCUGGGGAGGGACUUUGACCAGUGACCAGCACAUCACAGUGCUGGUUGCUAGAAACUGGAAAUAAUAAUCCUCGAAAACUUCUUUUUUUAAAAGCUAGCAAUUAAAUAAUUCCACUAUGAGGCCUAAUCAUGCCAGUAUUAUAAAUGUUUUCAACAAGAAACUGGGCAGUUGCCCAUCCACAUGCCUGCCCAAGCUGAGUUCUUAAAAUGUGUGCCGGGCCCUUUGUGCACAGUAUUUGCAAACAUAAUAGUAUCACUUUCCUACAUCUUUGGGUCAUAGCUCACCAAGGUGUAAGCACAGGUUAGGAAACCUUUUAGCUAUGAUGAUCGUGUGGGACCCUGCUUGGGUAAUUGCAAGAACUCAUGGAUCUACUUCAACAUUCAGUCUCAAUGCUUCUGAGAGAAUGGAUAUUCUGGGUGGGAUUCAGCAUCACACUCUUCCAGUCAUUCUGCUUGUGCAAGCAUUUCAGCUUGCCAGAUAGAAAGAUCACCCUCUCUUCCCCCCUGCAUUGUGCUUUGAGGGUUUCCACAAACCCCACAGAACCCAUUGGAAGCAGAUGGGGUGAGAAGAAGGGGAGAACACCCCAUGCACAAGCAAAAGUCCUUGCAUUGGGCUCCCUCAGAAGGGGCUGCUUAGGUAAAUCCACCCUACAACACACCAAAUCCUAUACACAGGUUCUUUCAUUAUGGCUUUUAAAAUAUAUAUAACUAGCAGCUAAGCAUCCACAGUUUAUUUUGCACUUUGUGGGCAAUUAAAUAUAGAAGUACCAAGCUUGAUGAGUAGGCAUAAUAUAUACACCUUUGAACACAGAAUGAGGCUCAGUUCUCAUUUUUCUUUUUGACAUCAAAAAGGCAUCAUCGGAAAUUAGGUUGUGACUAUAGAAAAUGUUCCUUCUCGGAUAUUAACUGUUCAGUGAAUGAACUGUUCCUGGGAAAGAUGAAUUCCUUCCAGCUCCAGAGGGGAAGAGUCACCUUUACAAGGGAACUUUUAGAGAUCUGAGAAGCACAAUUUCCCACUUCUAAAGGAAGAAUGAUAAGGGUUUGUCUAUGAAAAUGAGGUGUGCGGUGAAUUUUAUGCAUUAUGUUGUGAUCCAAGACUUCAUCAAACAAGGAGUGUAUUCCAAUUCACUGGUGUUUUUAUUUGCAUAUCUCCAUGUACUGAAUUUUCAUGUUAAGGCCCAUUAGUUGGGGGGGGGGUCUGGUACCUGUUUUUCAAACUAAUUGCUUUCAUUGUCCCUGACAAUGAUGAAAAAACAUGCAAGUACUAGUUCUAAUCUUGGAAAAUGGGAUGAGCCACUGAGAUAAAGCUUUCACUUUUCCUGGCCAGACUAACUGGUCAUUAUUGGCAUGGUAGUCAUAUGAUGUGAGACACAGACCAAAAAGCUAGCUUUCCUCACCCAAAUACCAAACAUUAGAGUCACUAGACCCCACUAGCAAACCGUAUCCAGUUAUAUGUGGUUCUUGUACAACACAGUCCUUCAUCCAAAUGGGGCCCCAUUAGACUCUGGCCAAAGGGGUGCAUCUACACACAAGGGAAAAAUGCUAUAAAUAAGUCAGAAAUUAAAUUGUUAUAACAAAAGGGGGGAAAUGCUAUGUAAAAUCACAUAGAAAAGUUUUGUGCUCCACAGCUCCAUCUGGUAUUGCAUGUUUAGAAUGUAUUUAAAAUGCUGUUUUUUGACUAAUGUAGCUGAGUCCCAAGUUUUAUACCAACAGAGGACCUUCUUGGUAGUGGCACCCUCCCUGUGGAAUGCCCUCCCAUCAGAUGUCAAGGAAACAAACAACUAUCUGACUUUUAGAAGACAUCUGAAGGCAACCUGUUUAGGGAAGUUUUUUAUGUUUGAUGUUUUAUUGUGCUUUUAAUAUUCUGUUCGGAGCCACCAAGAGUGGCUGGGGAAACCCAGCCAGAUAGGUGGGGUAUAAAUAAUUUGUUGUUGUUGUUAUACAGGAAGACCUGGAUACAGGAAUUUAGAUUUUCCUUUAGCCAAUCAGGGCCUAGGGCCCAUUUCUCCAGUCCUGGAAGUUGUAUGUGCGAGAAGACCAUGCAGCUACUAAGAGAGUUUCUGCACAGUCACUUGUGACCUUGAGGCAAUCUCCACACAGAUGGUAUACUGGACUAAUUAAAUAGAACCUUUCUUCCUCAGGAAGACUGCAUCCAGAAGCCGAAGUGGAAAGCUAUUAAAAAGAACCAAAGAAACCAGGAUUUCUUUGUAGGUGCACUGCCUGCUUGUUUGUGGGCCCAAUCUAAAGUGCUGGCUUUGGUAUUUAAAGCCUUAAAUGGUUUGGGCCAGGUUAUCUGAAAGACCACCUGCACCUGUACAAAACUGCCUAAGCUGUAAGAUAAGGCUCUGAGGUCCUGCCCUCCAGUCCAUCAGUGAGAGAUGUUCGAUUGAAUGACUGGAUGCAGUGCAUUUUCAAUGCUAUUCCCAUAUUUAUGGAAUGCCCUUCCUCACAAAACACAUUUGGCCUGUCAAAGGUGGUCUUAUGAUGUGCUUAUAUCAAGCAACCUUUUUAUGAAUUUUCACAUAUCGGUGAAAGUUUCCUGCUAAUUGUUAUGCUUAUUGUGUAACAUGUGCCUUGUGUAAUAUGUGUGAAGGCAAUGAGUGGCCCUGAAAGGCAGCUUGUAAAUCUAUAUAAUUAAUUAAGAACAAAGCACUUUCUAGAGAACGCCCCAAUUUUUUAAAAAAAUAAUAUUUAUUAAUAAUCUC